GAUGAACGCUAGCUAUAGGCUUAACACAUGCAAGUCGAGGGACCGGCGCACGGGUGAGUAACGCGUAUACAACCUGCCCAUAACUAAGGGAUAACCCAGCGAAAGUUGGACUAAUACCAUAUGGUUAUGGAUGGGGAUGCGUUUGAUUAGCGUGUUGGUGAGGUAACGGCCCACAAAGCCUUCGAUGGAUAGGGGUUCUGAGAGGAAGGUCCCCCACAUUUGAACUGAGACACGGUCCAAACUCCUACGGGAGGCAGCAGUGAGGAAUAUUGGUCAAUGGGCUCUAGCCUGAACCAGCCAAGUAGCGUGAAGGAUGAAGGCUUAUGGGUCGUAAACUUCUUUUAGAUAAGAAUAUGUAUUAUAUGAAUAAGGAUCGGCUAACUCCGUGCCAGCAGCCGCGGUAAUAC
rnacentral:rRNA from 1 species